CGCCCCGAUCGUCAUUUCGUUCUCCCUUUCUUACUCUUUUUCAUUCCUCGUUAUUUCUCUUUGUUGAAUUGCGCGCGCCCGUGUAUUUUUCGUACGCACGUACAUACCGCGUUGCCGAGAGCGGGCCAAUGCACAAAAUUGGUUUUCUUCUAAUCUUAAUCGCGGUCCUUGGUUAGUCGUCACAUUCGCGAUACGAGAGGUGAUGCACUCUCCUGUAUAUUCUUCGUUUUUCGGUUUUUUCGCGAUCGCUCACGAUGAUGAAUUCGCGUUGAUACGCGAAAAAAAUUGUCUAAACCAAACAGAAAAGAUUCCGCAUCGUAAUUUGCGCACUGCGAAACAUUUUAUUUCAUUUUCUCUCCCUAACGAGUUCAGUGACGAAUAAUCCUAUUAAACAGACAAGAUGUCGUGAGUCGUCGGUGGUUUGAGUGUUUCCGAUAAAUUAGUUAAAUUUCUUUUUUUCACAAAUAACAUUACAAGCCACACCGACGUAGUGACAAAAAAAAACAACUAUAGUUCGCGCUUUAAGCAAGCCAUCAUUCAGAUCUGCGAAGUCAUCAAUGUAUUUUCGUCACGAACAACGCAGGAAGUGUCGGGAAUGGAGUAUACUUCAUGAUUCAUCAUCAAUUUCUACAAAGCUUUGUACUGCUCCUCUUUAUUUCUGUCCGUCUUUAUCUUUCUUUGUGACGCGUUGCGGGUGUAACAAAUAGAAGAACAAGAACGUUAUAUUUCCUCCGUAAGUGACUUGCAUCUCAAUGUGACAGACUUCAAUAAUAAUAAUAAUAAUAAUAAUAAUAAAAACAAAAGCUAUACGCAUAUACGUAAUGUACCAAGAGAGCCAUUUUACCAAGUGACGGAAAAAACAGUCAAUGGAUUUUUGUGGUUAUAAUACCGGGUGGGGAAACGUAAAGACGCUCGUGUAGGCGCAUCUAUAAAAACAUUGUCAAGAGACUGGCGCCACCGAGUGAAUAAACGGGAAAGCUCGGAGGGCCUUCUACGAGAGAUGUAUAUGGGUGGGGUCGACGAUUUGUCACGAGUGAGACAGAGAUAGAGAAUAAGACGCGCAUGCGCACUAAAACAUUUACGAACAGGAGCGAGCGAGCGAGUGUGGAAGAGAAUCCGAUCUAGUGUUGUUUUACCACAGUGUGGCACGAGCAGUACGCGGCCGUUCGUCUCAACAAGACGAACGUUGUUUACCAUUAUUAUUGUUAUUCUUUGUUCUCAUUAUUAUUAUUAUUAUUCCCUUUAUCAUUGUUGUUAUUUUUGUUGUUUUAUUUUUCGUUUCUUUUGCCAAAUAGUUCGACAUAUACGUCCCUCAAUCUCGUGUCGUUUUAAAAACACGCUCUGCUCUCGGACGUUGUUUCUCCUCUGUCUCUGUCUCUGUCUUUCUCUCUGUGGGCGCGCUAUGAAGCCGCCCCUGAGAGCCGUCGCGAAUCACGCACGCAGAAUAAGUCACAGCUAAAGUUUUCGAAGUAAUAUACAAUUAUAACGCUGAAAAUAAUGAAGUAAAGCUUAUUUCUCGUUCAUGGCUUGGGUAGACUCAUCACCGAACGAGUUUUUCCUCGUUGUUCUGGGCUUGAAUCAUUUUUAUAUGCAAUUAAACAAACAACAACAAAAAUCCAUGUGUACAUGUAUUAUAUCGCCUCUCCUUUCCAAUCGGACAGUAUUCCAAGCUGCGUUACACACUUAUAUAUACUAAUGUAUAUUCCACCUUUCUCUCUCGGUUCGUAUUCCCAGUAUUCCUUUAUCUCCCACCCGUUUCCUCGUCGUCGACACUCCACACAAUGUCCCGUCCCCUCUCGCACUCUCUCUCUCUCUCUCGUAUCUGCCCUUACGAUACGCUUUCCGUUCCACCCACGAUUCCUUUAUUCUCCUUCCAUCUUUCCCCCCCCCCCCCCCCACUCCACUUCACGUUUCCUUUCAUUCCAUCUAUCUCUCUUUAGCGGCAGUUUCAUUUUGUCGAUUUUUUUCUGUUCUUUCCUCUUUUUUUUGUUUUGUUUUUUUUUUUUUUUCAUUUUUUUUCUCGUCUUUCUCUUUCACGAAUACAACUACUUUAUAUAGUCCCGAUGUAUUACGGAGGAUGCACGCACGUCUCAGAAAAAGGAUAUACAUAUGAAUAUACAUUAUAAUGUAAUAGUCGCUUGCGCACGAAGAACAUUUGCCACGUUCGUCUCUCCUGCCUCGCACACGCAAAAAAGGACGUGCGAUUUUACACAUAUUAUACCUUUAGCCUCUGUAACUUCUUUAUAUUAUCAUAUUUAUCUAUAUACAUAUAUAUAUAUAUAUAUAUUUUUUUUAUUUCUCAAAAUAGGAAACGAAAGAGUGUACAUGUGUAUAUGCACGCGUUGUCUCUUUUAUAUAAAUAUAUAUACAUUAUGUAGUUGUACCGAGCGCACGUGCUGAGCAUUCGCAAAUGAAUAAUAAACAAAUAAAUAAUGUUUAAGAAUAUAUACGAAACACCGAUAUAUUGGAAGUACUAAGUGUGCGUGUGUGUCUCUAUUUUUCACUAUAUUUUUAUCUGUAUAUAAAAAUAAAUUACCAUGCUUCUUCGA